UUUGUGAGACGUUUUAACGAAUGCAAACAAACAGCCCUACGGAAUUGGCGGGGAUUUUUUUAACGCCCGUCAAUCAAGACAACUGCGAAAAUGCGGUUAAAGACUGGACUCAUGCGUAGAUCAUAAUCACGUCUUUGUAGACAUGCAAACAAAUGCUCAAUCGCUUAAAACUUCAUAAAACGAUAAUGAGUUUAGCAUGUUUGUAGCUUAAUCUGACAUAACGCAGGCAGAUCGUUGAAUCACGUAUACAUCAUAGACUUUUCCCACUUUGCAUACAUGCAAGAGACAACCGUAUAUCUGGUUCAGGAUCGUUUGCAGUGAAAGAGAGAAAAAGCCCUUAUGAUCACUUCCAUAGAUACUGGCCACAUCUUCGACAUCAUUGAGAACCAACGUUACAGACACGUGCUGGGCCUUUUCGCGCUUGAGGGCACCGAAAGAGAAUCUGAAGACGUAUGUUCCAGAUUUUGGAACAGUGAAGACGCCCUUCUUCGCGUCCAUUCCACCACCUUGGUUUGAUCUUGUAAUCUCGAAAGAAACAGUUUAGUGAAACACUUGCAAGUUGUUCUGGAGAAACAAACGAAGAGACGGAGACCUUUCCUUCACCUGGCGUUUGAGUCAUAUCGCAAAAAAUGGUUUCCAUCACUCCGGAUCGCUGGACGGAGUAAAAACCAGAAAUGGAGUGGCCAUUACGGCGCAGAUCUUGGCAAGAAUUUGGCAACGGUUUAGAAAUUUGUACUGGCUGACGUCCAUAGCAUUCCAAACGACUCAGACUAUGCCGGCCGGAAGAUGGUUGAGUUAAAAUCCGACCGAAAUUCAACCGCGUAACUGGAAGAGAGGAUUUGUCCGUGAUGAUACCUGAAGAAGAUAUUAAAGAUUGCCUGCAAACGGAAGAUAAUUGAAUGAGGGAGAUGAUUUGCCUCAUGGAUGCGUUGUAGUUGAUAAACCGGCUGUAGCAUCCUGCAUCCCAGCAUUGGCCAACAUCGGUGGACGACUCGCUAUCAUGCAGAAUCGACGUUGACCCUAUGUCAUGUUACACCAGACAUAAACGGGUGUAUCUCCUGUCCUAUGGCCGUCGGGAUCGAUCCAGUACAUCCCAGAUUUAAGCGCUUCAUCGGAGUGUCUCAGUUCUUCACACGAACUGGCAAUCACUGGCGUAGAAGACGUAAG